rnacentral:misc_RNA from 1 species
CAGAUCGGGUGUUGAUGUGGG